rnacentral:lncRNA from 1 species
UUUUCAUUCACUGCUCUAAGUGUAAACAAUUCUAACAGAAUAACAAAAUGGAAAUAAUAUUUUUCUUCGCUGCUCCAACUGUAAACUAUUCCAUAAAACUUACAAAAUGGAAAUAAUAUUUUACUUCACUACUCCAACUGUAAACUAUUCCAUUAAACUUACAGAAUGGAGAUAAUAUUUUUUCUUCACUGCUUCUAGUGUAAAUUAUUCUAAUAAAACUUCAAUACGUAAUGCCUUAUCAUUCACAAAUCCAAAGCCUAAACUACAAACAAAAACACCCAACUUCAGAUCUAUACAUACAGAUUACAUAAACAAAAAAUCAAAAGGGUAUGCAUAAUUUCUGAAAAUAAUUGGUAUACACAAAGAGAAGUCAAGUAAGCUCUUAAAUGGAGCCACCACCACAACAUAGUCACUACUUCACCCAAACACUGCGACCACAACCAAUAGAGCCGUCGUCGCUGUCGUCAUCGCCACCAGAGCCAAUGAACCACAUAUCAGAAAAUCAUCACACUCCCACAACCACUACGAGCACCACCGCAUCUAUACAACCAUCUCCAAUAUUACCGCCACCACAACAGGGAGUCGCCGCUUUCAACAACGAUGGCAUCGUCGGCGUGGCAAAGUUCUCCAUGCUGUCGGAGAUGGCGGGGUGGACGGAUUAGUGGGUAGAGCGAGAAGUUAGAGAGAAGGAAGAGAGUGAGGAUGAGGGUAAAAAUGAAUUUGAUUUUGGGAUGGAACUUACUUGAGGUACAGGAGUUACAGGAGUUUUUUUCACAAAACUCCUACAAGUGCUCACAACAUGAGUCGGGGGUGGGUGGGGAUUUUGACAAUUUUUUAUACAGGUGGGUCCCAUGCGGGACCCACCAGCUGUGAGUACCCCUUGUACAUGGAGUAAAAUCCUUUUGGGAUAAAUGAGAUUGGGAGUGGGGCCGAGGGUGGGCGAAGGUGGGGUGAGGUUAGAUUAUGAUUUUAUUAAAUAUAAUUAUCACAUGAUUUUUAAAAUGAAAUUUAAACUUCUUUUUAAAAAAAAAAGAAAAAAAAGUCUUUAAAUAUAGGUUUCUAGAUAAUUUUCUCAUAUUUUAAUUUGAAUCCAUUAGCCCACUAACCAUUAACUAGUCCACCCCAAGUUGUAAAAUCAAUUUUUAAUUUUAAGACUUGGCCCAAAAAUUUGUUUUAAUACCCAACAGCCCAAUCCCAAUUAUACAAUAAAUAUCUCUUCUUCUUUCCACCAUUCUCGUCGGACUCAAUUGAAAAUUUUGAAAGACAAAUAUUCCCAAAUCUUUGAAUAACCCUAAUCCCUAAUUUUUCUAUUCUUUUCCCUAACUACUAUCUCACCAGAGAGCUGUCGACCACAAACAAGGAAAAACAUCUGAAGUUUGAAGAGUUUCGGUCAACAACUCCUUCAAUUUGAACCCCAUUUUCAGCUAACAACUAGUUUCUAUCGAUUAUUGGUUAGUAAUCGUGGCCUUUUAAAUACUUAUAUCAAAAU